GCGCGGGCUCGGCGCGCCCCGCACUCUGAGCGGUCGGCUGGCGCCGCCGGCCCUGGGCAGUGAGAGAGGCUUAGCACCCGGGCCAGCAGCUGCGGAGGGUGCACUGGGUCCCCCAACAGUGAUGGCCCGCCGGCGCCGCGCUCGAAUUUUCGCUGGGCCUCAGCCACCUCCCCGCGGGGCAAGGGGGCAGGGCUCGGGACCUGCAGCCUGCCAUGCUGG
rnacentral:lncRNA from 1 species